AUAAGCUCGACACUGGAAAACAUAAUAGUCUCUUGGAUAGAACAGCAUUUUAAAAAAUUAACUGCUUUGUAUUCCUGGGUUGCUUUGCAAAUUAUCUUUGUUUAAUCUCAAGUUUCAUUAUCUUCAUUGCAAUGUGCAUUAAAUGUUUUACCCUGUUCCCCAUAUUCUGUCGCCAUCACAAUAUUGAUUAUGAAUUAACUUAUCUUAUAAGGAUGGAAGUCAGAUGGCUGUCACAACGCUAAUUUCUUCUCAUUAAUCGUAACAAGUACCCUGUAAUCAACAAACCUGCUGGAGUUGUUCACUGGCUGCAACAUAGUGAAGAUGCAGAUAAUGUCGAUUGGG
rnacentral:misc_RNA from 1 species